GUCGGGAGGGCGACUAAUACAACACCCGCAAGGGGAAUAAGUCCGCGGUUUCUUACUGCCGUUUUGAGCCUCCCGACACCAUAUU
rfam:Photorhabdus luminescens subsp. laumondii TTO1 complete genome